rnacentral:rRNA from 1 species
UGGGGAAUUUUGGACAAUGGGCGAAAGCCUGAUCCAGCAAUGCCGCGUGUGUGAAGAAGGCCUUCGGGUUGUAAAGCACUUUUGUCCGGAAAGAAAUCCUUGGCUCUAAUACAGUCGGGGGAUUACGGUACCGGAAGAAUAAGCACCGGCUAACUACGUGCCAGCAGCCGCGGUAAUACGUAGGGUGCAAGCGUUAAUCGGAAUUACUGGGCGUAAAGCGUGCGCAGGCGGUUUGCUAAGACCGAUGUGAAAUCCCCGGGCUCAACCUGGGAACUGCAUUGGUGACUGGCAGGCUAGAGUAUGGCAGAGGGGGGUAGAAUUCCAUGUGUAGCAGUGAAAUGCGUAGAGAUGUGGAGGAAUACCGAUGGCGAAGGCAGCCCCCUGGGCCAAUACUGACGCUCAUGCACGAAAGCGUGGGGAGCAAACAGGAUUAGAUACCCUGGUAGUCCACGCCCUAAACGAUGUCAACUAGUUGUUGGGGAUUCAUUUCCUUAGUAACGUAGCUAACGCGUGAAGUUGACCGCCUGGGGAGUACGGUCGCAAGAUUAAAACUUAAAGGAAUUGAC